rnacentral:tRNA from 1 species
GGCGGAGUAGCAAAGUGGUUACUGCGAUUGACUCGAAGUGGUUUAGUGUGUAGAAUCUAACCACAGCAAUCAAUUGCCUUCGGGCGCGCAGGUUCGAAUCCUGCCUCCGUCG